rnacentral:rRNA from 1 species
UACGGAAGGGGGCUAGCGUUGCUCGGAAUCACUGGGCGUAAAGCGCACGUAGGCGGACUCUUAAGUCGGUGGUGAAAUCCUGGAGCUCAACUCCAGAACUGCCUUCGAUACUGAGAGUCUCGAGUCCGGGAGAGGUGAGUGGAACUGCGAGUGUAGAGGUGAAAUUCGUAGAUAUUCGCAAGAACACCAGUGGCGAAGGCGGCUCACUGGCCCGGUACUGACGCUGAGGUGCGAAAGCCAGGGGAGCAAACGGG